GACGUAGGGGACGAGCGUUGUUCGGAAUCACUGGGCGUAAAGCGCACGUAGGCGGAUGUGUCAGUCAGGGGUGAAAUCCCGGAGCUCAACUUCGGAACUGCCCUUGAUACAGCACGUCUUGAGUCCGGAAGAGGUGGGUGGAAUUCCUAGUGUAGAGGUGAAAUUCGUAGAUAUUAGGAAGAACACCGGUGGCGAAGGCGGCCCACUGGUCCGGUACUGACGCUGAGGUGCGAAAGCGUGGGGAGCAAACAGG
rnacentral:rRNA from 1 species